rnacentral:rRNA from 1 species
GACGAACGCUGGCGGCGUGCUUAACACAUGCAGGUCGAACGGAAAGGCCCUGCUUUUGUUGGGUGCUCGAGUGGCGAACGGGUGAGUAACACGUGAGUAACCUGCCCUUGACUUUGGGAUAACUUCAGGAAACUGGGGCUAAUACCGGAUAGGAGCUCCUGCUGCAUGGUGGGGGUUGGAAAGUUUCGGCGGUUGGGGAUGGACUCGCGGCUUAUCAGCUUGUUGGUGUGGUAGUGGCUUACCAAGGCUUUGACGGGUAGCCGGCCUGAGAGGGUGACCGGCCACAUUGGGACUGAGAUACGGCCCAGACUCCUACGGGAGGCAGCAGUGGGGAAUAUUGCACAAUGGGCGGAAGCCUGAUGCAGCAACGCCGCGUGCGGGAUGACGGCCUUCGGGUUGUAAACCGCUUUCGCAUGUGACGAAGCGUGAGUGACGGUAAUGGGUAAAGAAGCACCGGCUAACUACGUG